UCAUUCUCGUUGUCAGUUUCCGAUCGUCAUUCUCGCACACACAUCUACUGAGAUCCGCGCGUGGGAACACUCCCACUUAUGCGCCGAAUUUCGCCGAAACUAUCAUCAUCUUCAUCUCUCUGUUCUUAACAUUAACACAGU
ensembl:ncRNA F25B4.14 ncRNA